UCUCUCCCAGAUCGACGGAAGGGAACGGACUGACCAGCUCUCCGGUCCUCCGGAAGAAUCCAUCCAGAGAAGGCUCUUCCUCUCCUCGCUCUCAGCCGCGCUCGCCUCUCUGCAAAAGCCCCACUCAGGAGAAAGUGAGAUCUCCGUCUCCUUCAGCGUCCCAUGAAUCACUCUCUCCUGGCUCUCCAGCACCUCCCCGCCCUCUCUCGUCCUCCGCCCGCGGCCCGUCUCCCGCUCUCAAACACUAGGACCCACUCCAGCCCAUGGAGUGAGACUAGUGAAAGACCGCCGCUACCCCUCCCCAGCCCGCCCUUCCCAGAAUGCACGGGGCC